GCCAUCCUGGAAGCUGCCACCACAAACAGACAUAGGUUCACAUCUCAGACUGUCCACUGACUGACUCUGUGCAAGGCUUUUAUGGAUGUUCAUUAGCUGAUUUUUAUCUGCAUGAUGAAUACUAAAAGUUGUAGGGUUUAAGCUGUGGAAGGAGAUCAUUGUGGCCUUUAUCCUGUGAUGCUAAACAGACCUUCAAACCUCCUGCUCAUGUAUCUGGGACACCUGUCGGAAAGGUGGGGUGAGGAGGGAUGGUGGCCCAGAGGUCAUGUGAGAGAUGACAAGUGUAGACAUCCCUGCAACUUCUGUUCUCAUGCUCCCUCUGCUUCCAAAUUCCACGGUCAUAGCCUGCACCCUGGGAGGCUCCGAACACUCCAGAGCGGGGGUGUCUGAAAAAUAAAGUUGCCACUCCAUUUCUACCCCCAGUUGCAUUUGGUCACCACAUAAUGAAAUGAUUUUCCUUCCCUCCUUUGUUUCCUCUCUUUCUUUCCUUCUGAGACAAAUGGAAAAAUAAUUUGAUCCCCUUGAAUCUUUUCACCCUCGGUAUUUUCCCCCUUCACACCCGAGCACCGCCCCUUGAUAAAUGAGAACACAUGUGCUGAAAGCUGCGCCUUCACCCUCCUGACUCAGGGUCCCCCUCCUCUGGGGACACGGGUUUACUUUCAAACCUUCAGAAUAAAUUCAUCACAGCAGGAAGAACAUUGUUUUUCUUCAAAACUUGAAAAAAAAAAUCAAAUCCCAUAUCACAAUUAUUUCCAUUUCAGAGAGAAAUUGUUGCGUUUUCAUCUCAAACUUUCUUCUCCCCAACUCUGAAGGCUGCAGCCGAGGUGCCGCGCAGACUCAGUUGGGCUGCUUUUGCAAAGUCGGCACAGAUUCAUCACUUCGGGGAGCCAAAGGGUGACACAUACAUAUUUUGAAUAUUACCCUGUGUGGAGAGCUGCAUCACGGCUUGACUUGGGGAGCUUCCACGUCUUCACGUCUUCACACGUGGACCUUUUCCAUGGAGAUUUUACUUAAAAAAUAAUCCUCGAUACAAUUCUUUCAUUUGAAUUUUCUGAAAAAAUAUGCUGAGAACUUCCGUAUGUUAUUCCACUGUAGUUCCUCUACCAUCCUAGCCCCUUGGAAAACAAACCCCUUUCUCUUUAACAAAAAACACACAAUGACAAAUGCCCGGUGCUGUAGGAAUUAAGCUCUUUGGUUUGACCACCGUCUGUAGCAGACCUCAGAGAAGCGGGACAUCCUCUUGAACUGAAACAUCCGCGCAAGAAUUCCUCUAAACUUCCUUGCACUUCAUUGUAAGGAAAACUCCUUGACACUGAGCAUACUUCUCCGUCGCUGCCAGGCGUCUUUCUGUUUAUGUAGCCUUUGUUUACACAUGC
rnacentral:lncRNA from 1 species